CGGAGUGUAGCGUAGUCCGGUUAGCGCACCUGCUUUGGGAGCAGGGGGUCGGGAGUUCGAAUCUCUCCACUCCGA
rnacentral:tRNA from 1 species